rnacentral:misc_RNA from 1 species
GGAGCUGCAGAGCCAUCUGCUUGAAAAACGCUAACUUCACCUCUAAUCAGCUUGCGCGUUUCUUGAAACCCCUGGUUUGUUUUUCUUCUUGGCUAAGAAAACUGGACAAUGUGCCUUCCAAUGACCUGACAUCUUGCAAUGAAAACACUUACCCUUAGACUUUUUCACUCCCCCAAUUGGAGGUGCAGUUGCCUUAGCUUUGUGAGACUUUUUCUUCUUCUGUCCACCUUGCGGUUUAGAAGUAGAACCUUUCUCAAC